CAUCCGGAAACGGGUGCUAAUACCGCAUAGUUUUCUUGAUCGCAUGAUCGGGAAAGGAAGGACGGCCUUUGUGCUGUCGCUUAUGGAUGGACCCGCGGCGUAUUAGUUAGUUGGUGAGGUAACGGCUCACCAAGACGAUGAUACGUAGCCGACCUGAGAGGGUGAUCGGCCACAUUGGGGACUGAGACACGGCCCAAACUCCUACGGGAGGCAGCAGUAGGGAAUCUUCCGCAAUGGACGAAAGUCUGACGGAGCAACGCCGCGUGAGUGAAAAGAAGGUUUUCGGAUCGUAAAACUCUGUUGUCAGAGAAGAACAAGUUGGAGAGUAACUGCUCCAGCCUUGACGGUAUCUGACCAGAAAGCCACGGCUAACUACGUGCCAGCCGCCGC
rnacentral:rRNA from 1 species